AGGUCCCAAUCGUUAGGUGAAAAAGAAGGCUCGAUUGCCGCAGUGAAAUGUCGUAUGCAUGGUGUACGGCAGAGAGUGGCUUAUUCUAACUUUUGUAACUGAUUUUUUAAGAGUAUUUCUAAAACGGGUACGACUAUAUUCGUCUACUUCUAUACAAUUUAUUAAAAAUAAAAUUUAUUAAAAUAUCGAAAAUGAGUGAAAAUAUAGAAAAAAUUUAUUUAAAAAAAAAAAAAAGAAAAAGGAAAAAGAAAAAAGAAAAAAAAAGAAAACAAAACGCGCCUCAAGUUAAUUAAAAGUCGAUCAAAAGAAUUUCUAAUAUAUAUUAUUCGUCGAUGCAGUAUCAGUGGGCCCAGCAGGCAGCAGCUUCAAUCUUCCCAAUAUGAAAAUGAGACCGUUUGCAGCAGAAAACCGAAAAACAGAAGUAUCUUUCGAAGAAGUUUAAGAAGCAUCCGAGUUUAUGAAAAUUCAGGAUUUGGUUUACUGAUUUAUUUCAAGUAGAAACUAAUUUGUUCGAAAAUGAUAUUUUACUUGGUACAUAGCUUUUUGGUAGCCGUUUAAUGUCAAUAGCGCAAUUAACAUUCGGCGAUCUUAUAACAUUUUUGAUGCCAAAUCAAUUAGUUCCAAGAUCUCUUUCUUUCCUACCAUUAUAUCAAUUUUUUUUUUUGGAAAUUACAAUGUAUUUCUCUUUGUAAAAUCCUCCGAGAAAUUUGUUUUUAGGAAAUUAUACUUAUUUCAAUAUUAUUCGAGUGCAAAAAAUAUUGCAUGAAAAUUUUUUCUCGUUAUAAUAUCUUUUUUCUUUUAUAUUAUUUUAAUUAAAAAAUGUUUUUCUUUCUUUUCACGGAAUAAUUUUACGGAAACAUAUUCAGAAAAAAUCCGUCGUUAUAUUCUUUUCUUUUCUCUUUUUUCGUUAUUUCAUCUCCGUCUCUUUGAUGUGUUCUACUUCAAUAGGGGUUUACUCAAGUCAAUCAACAUUCCCUAUUACGCUUCCCAUUCCCUUUACGGAUGUAAAAAUGAAAAGAAGGAUUAUGGCUUUGAUCGAAAUGAAUUUCUCUUCAUCGACCGUAGCAUGAACCUUUAAUGUAGGUCAAAUUUAAUAGAAGGGGAAUAGGAAGUUACGUAUCUGCCUUGUACAUGGAGAAUACAUAUUGAGUUACCAUGGUAAUGGUUUACGGUAUUCCAUUACGGAAUAUUAUUGACGAUUUCCAGAUAUUUUUAUCGAGCUUUUGGGAACGUUAUAAACGAGCUUGCUCGUUUAGAGACAAGGUAUUUUCUUUCCUUCUCAAAGUCCUUCUUUUUAAACGGUUUGUAAAAAAAUAUACCGAGGAAAAAUUUGUAAUGGUAGUGAAUACAUACUUUGAUAUCAUAGAAGUUAAUCCGAUAUAACGACACUAAGAUGUUUCUGUUUUACCAAAGUCUAUGGACGGAACGAGGAAACAGGGAAACGAGAAUUCCUUUUCCAAUGGGUCCAAAGGCAACUUUAGACAUAGGAUAUAAUCGAUUGGGUUCAGGUAGGUUGUCAAAGAGCCGCUCGGACGGAGGAUCUGAAUCGAUGUAGAACGUUUCCUUUAGCAAGGUAAUAUUCUUUCGUAAAAGGAGAAUUUUAUCGAAGAAUCUUAUUUGUGUCCGUCUUUUUUGACCCUUAAAAGUAGUCGACGUUGUCGAGGAAAUUAAUAAGGGAAAAUAAAAAUCAAUCGUAAUGCUGAGAGUGUUCUUAUAUAUCGAUCUAAUGAUAAUUUGAACUGCACUUUCUUAGGUAAUUAUAGACACGACAACAGUAUUUAUUUUAGGACCAUCGGUGUAAUUACGAGUGAAGAAACAAAGAGAUUAAUGAUCCUGAAAUAGAAGGAGAAGAAGAACAAGAAGAGACAGAUUUUUAGGGACGAAGGUGAGGUAUAGCGAGCUACGCACAUUUACGAUUCAAUCGAUGAUUGAUUUUUCCUUAAUUAAAAUAUUGAAAACCGAUAAUGAUUUCAAAAGGAAAUUUAAUUCCAAUUUAAAACGAUGUUGGUCAUUGCUGGUCAUUGCCCUAGCAAAUUUCGAUUUAAUUUUAAAUAUACCAAAGACGAUGUACCCUCAAGAGAAAAUUUAAUUAAUGCUGGAAACCAAUAAUAAUUAUAAUAUACAAAGAACGGGAAAUAACAUUGCUUAUGAGAGCGGAAAAUUUAAUCACGGAUUUAAAAAUGAAUUAAAAAGAAAAUUAAUAUGAAACUUACGGAAGCUUAUCUUUUCAAUAUGAAUCAGUUUGUAAAGACUUUCAGAAUAAUGACGAUAUCGCGCGUACUUUAACAGUUCAAUACGUCCGAAUACAGUUCAAUAAUACAAAAUGUAUCAAUCCUACCUUUACAUCUGCGCGUCGUCGUCAUACCAUUAAUUUAAAUUAUUCAUGGAUCAAUAAUUCGUUUUAAUUGACAGGAGAUGAGAUUUUAAAUUCAAUAUUCAAAACUAUUGGAGCGAUAAUAUUCAUCGAAAAAUGUUUAAGCCAAUAUGUCCUCGAUGUGUAUUUCUAAAGAAUAUUGCAGAGAAAUAUUCGAUUUAACGUACGUUAUUUAAAACGGGAGAUCGCUUGGUUUGCAAUUCAGCGCAACGUCUUUUGUUUUAUCAGUUCUGAUGGGGUUUGAGAGAAAUACACGUAUCGAUACACGUAUUACCUAGUACUAUUGUAUCGAGCAGGUCAUUAUUACCUUCCUCGAUUUGCAUGAAUUCUUCCGCUUAUACGAUCCAGUUCAAUUGGCGGGAAUUCAACAGCGAGCGCUUAUGGAUCUAUGUGCGUAUGUCUGUGAAUAAAUCUCCAUUCACGUAAUAACCGUUUCAAGAAUAACAGGAACUUCUUUCUCAUUAUUCUUUAUGGAAUAAACCACAACGAAGUACUGGAUAACAUGAUGGACCAUGACAUUUUCCUAGAAAUUAAAAAAAUGUUUUCUUGGGGACUUUCAAAGAAAGAAAUACAAUUUUACUUUUAGUAAUCUAAUAUUGCAUAUUCUACGUUUUAAAUUACGUAGAAAAAUAUAAAUUAUCAUGUCUCUGU